rnacentral:rRNA from 1 species
UACGGAGGGGGCUAGCGUUGUUCGGAAUUACUGGGCGUAAAGCGCGCGUAGGCGGCUUUGUAAGUUAGAGGUGAAAGCCCGAAGCUCAACUUCGGAAUUGCCUUUCAGACUGCAUCGCUAGAAUUGUGGAGAGGUAAGUGGAAUUCCGAGUGUAGAGGUGAAAUUCGUAGAUAUUCGGAAGAACACCAGUGGCGAAGGCGACUUACUGGACACAUAUUGACGCUGAGGUGCGAAAGCGUGGGGAGCAAACAGG